rnacentral:misc_RNA from 1 species
GUGAAAUCAACAAUUAUCAACCCUCCUUGGAUUCACAUGCACUGCGUUAGGACCAGUUGAUUCCACUCCAGAUGACCCUAUUGAUUGGAAUAAUCCAGUCUGGUAAGAUGCUUAGGAUCCCAUGGACCUAAAAGCACUUGAUAGUGCAACUCCAUCAUUACCUGAAAAAUGUGGCCCAUGGUUUCAACAUUUUUAUGGAGAGAUUGACUCUGAUGACUAAGACUACAGGAACUUCAAUUUGUCCACAUAAGAUGCCUUUGGACCCACUAUCAUAUGUUAUCAUGUGGUCUGUUGCUUUGUCUAUCACUUAGUAACUUU